rnacentral:rRNA from 1 species
UGGCAAACUCUGAAUACCGUCAAGUGCGAGUAAGGCAGACAGACAGUGGGUGCUAACGUCCAUUGUCAAGAGGGAAACAACCCAGACCGCCAGCUAAGGUCCCCAAGACACAGUUAAGUGGGAAACGAAGUGGGAAGGCAUAGACAGCUAGGAGGUUGGCUUAGAAGCAGCCACCCUUUAAAGAAAGCGUAAUAGCUCACUAGUCGAGUCGUCCUGCGCGGAAGAUGUAACGGGGCUCAAACUGUGCACCGAAGCUGCGGAUAUCGAAAGAUAUGGUAGGGGAGCGUUCUGUAGGUCUGUGAAGGUGUCUUGUAAAGGAUGCUGGAGAUAUCAGAAGUGCGAAUGCUGACAUGAGUAGCGAUAAAGGGAGUGAAAAGCUCCCUCGCCGAAAGCCCAAGGUUUCCUACGCAACGUUCAUCGGCGUA